rnacentral:rRNA from 1 species
GACAGAGGGUGCUAGCGUUGUUCGGAAUGACUGGGCGUAAAGGGCGCGUAGGCGGUUUUUCAAGUCAGAUGUGAAAGCCCCGGGCUUAACCUGGGAACUGCAUUUGAUACUGUGAGACUGGAGUACGAGAGAGGAAAGCGGAAUUCCUAGUGUAGAGGUGAAAUUCGUAGAUAUUAGGAGGAACACCAGAGGCGAAGGCGCUUUCUGGCUCGUAACUGACGCUGAGGCGCGAAAGCGUGGGGAGCAAACAGGG